CAACUUUCAACAACGGAUCUCUUGGCUCUCGCAUCGAUGAAGAACGCAGCAAAGUAAUGUGAAUUGCAGAAUUCAGUGAAUUCAUCGAAUCUUUGAACGCACCUUGCGCUCCUUGGUAUUCCGAGGAGCAUGCCUGUUUGAGUGUCAUGG
rnacentral:rRNA from 1 species